UUCAGAUAUCGUCACAAUAUGCACCGGUUUUGUUAGAACUUUAUAACUUGCUCGAUAAUUACUCGAGUUAAAUUCAAAGAAAAUGGUAUACUAUUUGGAAGAUGUGUAUGCUACAAGGCAAUUGUAACCUUGCCAGGUAGCUUAAUCUUCAGUAUAAAUGCGUAGGAAUUUUACUUAUGGUUCGUUUUAAGAGUAAACUUGUAUCCAUUCAUCGUUAGGUUGAACAUGGUGGCACUCUAACUUAUCAUCGAUUUCAUUCUGUUUUGCAGGAUGAACUUUGAGAGUGCAUCGACUUUUCUUUCUCUUUCGAAUUGGACUAUACUUUUGUACACCUCCCAACUUUAUUUCUUCGUCACCGACCCAAACCCCACCUUGCCCCUGCCUACGCCCCAGUUGCCCAUGAAGAAACAUGUGGUGAAAAUAGUAUAGGUAGGUGGGUCUAUCAAAUUAAAGUAGUUUGACAUGUGGGUUGGAGGAGUAGUUUCCAUUCGAGUUCAAAUCCAAACCUUCGUAUAACCAAAUUCCCCACACCUCCAUACAUAAAACUGAAUGGAGUAACACAUAUUUAUAAUCUACUAGUAUAAUUGAGAAUAAUUUUAUGGACGAUUUUAUUCAAUCUAUGUUUAAGAAUACUUCAUUGGGGUACUUUUUAAUUUUUUAUUUAUUUGGUUAACCCGUAUAUUCAUACAUUUAUUGAAGGGUUCAUUGAACAUUAACAUUUCAGUUAGUUAUCUUCUAAUGAACUUUGAAUCAUCAUCAGAUGAUAAAUACGAGAAUUUGUUAUGAUUCAUGUAGACACGUAUAUUCUUACACGUGAAAUCUUUGUCUAGAGAUUCAGAUUGUAAGGGGAGAAAAGGAACCUGAUCAAAACAAUGUAUUUGACUAAAUAACCUUCUAAUGUUUGUUAGUCAAAUGGCCUUCAAUUACAAAAUUCAAUAAACAAAUAAUAUCAAUAUCCAAUACACCCUCUCUGUUGGAAAAGAUCCUAAUACCUCUAUCAAUUCAAUUAAAUUUCUCAAUUCAUCUCCAAAAUUGCAUUCCCCAUGUUCUCUCAUUACUAUGCUUGCUACCCUAAAAUAUUUUUAUUUAUUGUAUAGUUCCCCUAUUUUUGGAUAUCUUUU
rnacentral:lncRNA from 1 species